rnacentral:snRNA from 1 species
GCUCACUUUGGCGGGGCAAAUUCUAAAGUUGGAACAACACAGAGAAGAAUAGCAUGGCCCCUGGGAAAGAUGAUAUGCAAAUUCAUGAAGUGUUCAAUAUUUUU